rnacentral:rRNA from 1 species
GCAAGUCGAACGGUGAAGCCCUUUUUUGGGUGGAUGAGUGGCGAACGGGUGAGUAACACGUGAGUAACCUGCCCCCUUCUUCUGGAUAACCUCAUGAAAGUGGGGCUAAUACGGGAUAUUCUGGUCUGUGCGCAUGCAUGGGUUGGGAAAGGUAUUGUUCUGGUGGGGAUGGGCUCGCGGCCUAUCAGCUUGUUGGUGGGGUGAUGGCCUACCAAGGCGGUGACGGGUAGCCGGCCUGAGAGGGUGGACGGCCACACUGGGACUGAGACACGGCCCAGACUCCUACGGGAGGCAGCAGUGGGGAAUAUUGCACAAUGGGCGCAAGCCUGAUGCAGCGACGCCGCGUGAGGGAUGGAGGCCUUCGGGUUGUGAACCUCUUUCGCCAGUGAAGCAGGCUCAUCUCUUUGUGGGUGGGUUGACGGUAGCUGGAUAAGAAGCGCCGGCUAACUACGUGCCASCAGCCGCGGUAAUACGUAGGGCGCGAGCGUUGUCCGGAAUUAUUGGGCGUAAAGAGCUCGUAGGCGGCUGGUCGCGUCUGUCGUGAAAUCCUCUGGCUUAACUGGGGGCUUGCGGUGGGUACGGGCCGGCUUGAGUGCGGUAGGGGAGACUGGAAUUCCUGGUGUAGCGGUGGAAUGCGCAGAUAUCAGGAGGAACACCGGUGGCGAAGGCGGGUCUCUGGGCCGUUACUGACGCUGAGGAGCGAAAGCGUGGGGAGCGAACAGGAUUAGAUACCCUGGUAGUCCACGCCGUAAACGUUGGGCACUAGGUGUGGGGGGCCUUUUCCGGGUUCUUCCGCGCCGUAGCUAACGCAUUAAGUGCCCCGC